UACGAAGGGGGCUAGCGUUGUUCGGAAUUACUGGGCGUAAAGAGCGCGCAGGCGGUCGUGCAAGUCGCGUGUGAAAGCCCCCCGGCUCAACUGGGGAGGGUCACGCGAUACUGCUCGACUCGAAGGCAGGAGAGGGAAGUGGAAUUCCCGGUGUAGUGGUGAAAUGCGUAGAUAUCGGGAGGAACACCAGUGGCGAAGGCGACUUCCUGGCCUGUUCUUGACGCUGAGGCGCGAAAGCUAGGGUAGCAAACGGG
rnacentral:rRNA from 1 species